CAUGGUGCAUCGAGUCCAAUCUCCUUCGUCCCCAAAUCUAUAGAACAAUAAAAUCAAAAAAUAAUCCAAGAAACAGGAAAAAAACAUGAAAAUAAACAAAGCAUUAUCAUGUUUUUCACCUUGUUGUCCGAGGACACCACCAGCAUUUUUUACGGCAUAUGGGCUCACCCCAAAGCACAUAUCCGAUACAAAUCGAACAAAUAACUAAUAUCUUUUUUUGUUAAAAACAUUG
rnacentral:lncRNA from 1 species